UCCGAUUUAAAAGGAAUCGAUCGAACUCAGUCGUCCCCGAGGUAAGCAGCCUUUGGGUGUGAUUAUGNGGAGCGUGAGGAGUUAAUCACCCUCAUCUUUGCAUANUCGUGCACUUUGGGGGUACUUGCUCCGUGUCGGUAGGUUAACAUCAAUUUUGAUCAUCAUAAAAUGAUCGGAGGAAUGUAGCUUCGAUCUCGUAUUGAAGNGUUAUAGCCUUUGGCAGAUGUGAUGAUCGGGAUUGAGGAUUGCAACGGAUACNCUUCGGGGCUACCCGUACCGAUCUCUGAAAGUUGCUCUGGCGCUGAAAGCUUGCUUAUAGGUCAUCAAAGUUGACGUUCAAUAGGUUAGAACGGGAUAAACUUCGUUAAGGAUGUUGACGUA
rnacentral:rRNA from 1 species